CAGUGUUUCAUUAAUUAUUAUGAGCCAUGUAAACCACAUAGUUAUUUAUGGAAAACUUCAUACAUAUAACAUGUGACCUCCUUUAAAUUAGGACUAUAUUUUGAAUCCUCAUUUGUUUUUAUGUCAAUUUUUGUCCGUCAUUACAAAAACGUUAUUUUUCUGCCAAAUCAUGCUUACCUCGGAACUUUAAUAAAGAAGUUAAGAAAAGGUAAUUAUGAGAUGCCCUAAAAGAUUUUGUAUCGUCUGUCAAAUCCAUACCGGUAAAAGUUGUGAAAGACUUUUACCAUCACGAUAAACCAGUAAAAUUAAUUCUGAAUACUGUGAAAAAACACAAUAGUGAAAAUUUCGGGCAAAAAAUAAGCUCGCAAAUAAUUUCGUACAAUUCAGUUGCUUGGCGUUAUGAAGAAGUUUUCCAAAACAUGUUAUCCCGGAUCAAUUGGCACGUUACUGAGCUAGCCUUGAAGUGGUAAUAAGUUGGGAUCCAAGGGUGUUUUAUAUUUUGGAAUUCGGAUCUCGUGCUCACAUCACGCGCGGAGCUAACAUGACGAAUUGGGGCGCGUUGCGGUCUGCACGUCUGGCGAUCUCCAUAUCAAAUAUAAACGCAUUUGGCACAUAUGCCUUGUAGAUCACAUACUAAUAUCUAAAGAAUUUUAAUAUUAUUAUUAGCUGUAGCAGCUUUAUAAAAAAAUUCAGACGAAUGAUGGUACUACGUAAACACGUCAACUGAAAGAGAAAAAAUAACUAUUCAAAUCGGACUGAUAAAUUGCUGGCGUUGCGUAAUAUGGUCAAGCAAGUUGCGGAACAGAAACUAGUAGAAAAUGAGCAUUUUUAAAUAUAUUUUUAUGGUUCACCUUUCAUAUAUGUACAGCAUA